UUUCGUCCCCGCGGGCGUCUCUCCACCUCCGCCCAGGCCAGGGUAACGGUGCCGCCGUCACCAGGGGAGCGAGUGUGUCAUAAAUCUACUUCCUGACGCCCGCUCCCGCGUGGGUCGGGUCGGGUCGGGUCGGGUCGGGGGGCCGCGAGGAAGCUGCCCCGGUUUGGUUCCGUGGCUUGGGCUGCGGAGCGCGGGCUCCCCUCGGGGCGGCCCCUGAGCCCGGGGGCGCUGGGCAGGUGCGCUGUCAGUGAGGUGACAGACCUACCCAGAGGGAAGGGCAGUCUGGGAUUUGAUGCAAGUGUCACAACUCUGGGGCACCCCUGGGGAACGGCAAGGCCAGACCGUUGGCAGAAGGUCGCGCUGGGUGAGGCUGGUAAGCCUGCCUCACAAAACUGGUUUGUUACCCUGGCAACUUAUCACACCCUCGGCCCUCGGCUUCUUCGUCAGGGUGGUGCUGUGCUAACCGCAGCGUGGUCUUGAGAGAGGAUUGCAGCAGUUAAAUCCAGACUGUGGAGGGGGGCUUGGGCCCUGUGCUGCUCCUGCCCUACCCCAUGGGGUGGGCCCUGUGUAACUGCAGGAGGAGCCAACAGUCAGUGAUGGCUCUGGCUUCUGGGUUGGUCUGCUGCUUCUUUACUAUAAAAAGAGAGAAAAAAUGAAGAGGCAACACUGCCACUGAGAUCCGUCUGCAGCUGAGGAUGGUUGAGAAGGAACUGAAGGGUUAGGUCGUGCGUGUACUACAUGAGGCAAAAACAGCACUGCAAGACGACUUUUGUGCUUGUGCACCCCGACUGAACACUGCUAUGGAAAAUCUCUGAUCUGUGGCGCAGGGACGCACCGACACCUAAAGUGGAGCACCCACAGGUACACACAUCUUGAAGAACCAUCGUUACUGCACGAGGCAUGAUCAUCAGACGCUUGGCAAAGAUUCUCAAAGGUGUGGAGAGGCUGAAGGGGAGCACUCUGUAUUGCCUCUGUCUUCCGAGAACUGAACUGAAGACACUAGGGAGGCUCUGGCCAACUCUGUGGCUGAGGAGUGGGACUUCAAUGCUGGAUGAGCUCUGGACUCGGGUGAACUAUUGACUUACCUAGUGCUUUGAAAAGUAGCCUGGUCCAGUCAUGGAGUUGUCUCUGCCUCCAGUGCUGAGGAAGCCCUCAUGGAGCUCUCAGGGAGGAAGAGUUUCAAAUGAGACUCUGUUUUGGGGUUCUUUUAGAAAAGGUGCAGCAUAUAGAACACUUGUGUGGUCUAGGCACUUACCCCAGACAGAGAAGGCACUUUGUGUGUCCAUCAUUGAUAGGAAUGGCUCCCUCACAAGAGGGGCAGAUCUUGAAUCCUGGGGAGUAUGACUCCACCAUGUUCAAGGGGUGUUGUGGUUGGUGCACAGAGGCAGCACAAGGAUUUGAAGACCUCAGUUAUCAAUCUAAGAUUUUAUUUUAUUGCCAAUGGGCUGAAAACAACAACAAAUUAGAACUAACAACUGGAAGAAUAAAGUUGCACAGUAUGUGGAAAUGCAGACACUGCCAGUGUUCCAUCUUGCAGUCAUGGGCAGCAAGAAGGAAUGGGAGAGCAGUUGAAGCUGCCCUACCCUUUUUUCCCUCUGCUUUGGACGGCACAACUGUGGCCCAACUGACACUGCUGUUCAGAAUGAUUCCAGUCUCAUGGGGUAGGACACACACGCACCGGAAGUGGAAUACAUGUGGACAAUCUAACAACCAGAGUUCUGAUUUUUGUCUUAUACCUUACAAUGCACCCAACGUAUAUGUAUAUUGCAAUUUAAUGUUCUUGCUGCCAUGUGUUGUUUCUCUCACCCCCAUCUCCUUAUGUUGUUACAACACUACAGGAAAUCUCCUUUAGGGUAUGCUCCUCUUUUGCUCAGGAGGGGAAAAGGAAUGGAAUGAUCAGAUAUGUGUGAAGAGAUCAGCCACUCAUAAGCACAUAGCCAGACAGCCCUGGACCUUAGAAACCUUCUGAAGAAUCCUGCAGUUUUCAUCUUUUCCGAAGAUCCGCUAUAUCAUCCGCAGAAGUGAGACCAACAGAGAUCCGCAGGGAGAGAUGAACAUAACCUCCAAGGAAAAGGGAAAUGCAAGAGAUCCAUAACAAAAUGCAAAGGCGUUUUCCUGGCCUCUUGAGAAACAAGACAGCUGAUUGAUGCACAUGUUGACCCAAACAAGAGCGACGUUUGUGCCAGGCA